AUGGGGUUCAUCUCGGGGGUGGUGAUGGGGUUGGUGGUCGGCGUCGUGAUCAUGGCCGGGUGGAGCCGCGUGAUGCAGCGGCGCAGCAGGAAGCGCGUCGCCAAGGCUGCGGAUAUCAAGGUCCUUGGGUCUCUUGGCAGGGAGGACCUCAAGAAGCUCUGCGGCGAAAAUUUCCCCGAGUGGAUAUCCUUCCCACAGUAUGAGCAGGUGAAAUGGCUGAACAAGCAUCUCAGCAAACUUUGGCCUUUUGUUUCACAAGCUGCAACUGCAGUUGUUAAGGAAUCUGUUGAACCCCUGCUAGAUGAUUAUCGACCUCCAGGAAUAAAAUCUCUGAAGUUCAACAAAUUCUCUCUUGGAAAUGUCUCGCCAAAGAUCGAAGGCAUCCGUAUCCAAAAUCUUCAGCCAGGCCAAAUCAUAAUGGAUAUAGAUUUCCGUUGGGGUGGUGAUCCAAGCAUAAUCCUUGCUGUUGAUGCUCGAGUUGCAUCACUGCCUAUUCAGCUCAAGGAUCUCCAGGUCUUUACCGUUGUUCGGGUCGUAUUUCAACUAUCAGAAGAGAUUCCCUGCAUCUCUGCUGUUGUCGUUGCUCUCCUCGCAGAGCCAGAGCCUAAAAUACAGUACACAUUGAAGGCUGUUGGGGGUAGUCUGACUGCUAUUCCAGGACUUUCUGAUAUGAUUGAUGAUACUGUCAAUUCAAUUGUCAAUGACAUGCUCCAGUGGCCACACAGGCUUGUUGUUCCACUUGGCGUCAAUGUUGAUACAAGUGAGCUGGAGCUUAAACCUGAGGGAAAACUUUCUGUUACUGUAGUAAAAGCAACAUCUCUGAAGAAUAAGGAGUUGAUUGGUAAAUCUGAUCCCUACGUGACCCUGUAUGUGCGCCCCAUGUUCAAGGUCAAAACAAAAGUCAUAGAUGACAACCUAAAUCCUGAAUGGAAUGAAACAUUUGAACUGAUUGUUGAAGACAAGGAAACCCAAUCUGUCAUUUUUGAGGUUUAUGAUGAAGACAACCUUCAGCAAGACAAGAGGCUAGGUGUGGCUAAAUUAGCAGUGAAUAAUAUUGUGCCCGAGACUCCCAGUGAAAUCACUCUGAAGCUUAUGCAGUCAGUAGAUUCACUUAAGAUUAAAGACUACAGGGAUAGAGGGUCAUUACAUCUUAAGGUCAUGUAUCAUCCAUUUACCAAGGAAGAACAACUGGAAGCCCUGGAGUCGGAAAAGAAAGCAAUAGAGGAGAGAAAGCGGCUGAAGGAGGCUGGGGUAAUUGGCAGCACGAUGGAUGCACUUGGUGGCGCCGCAUCACUAGUUGGUUCAGGUGUUGGAUUUGUGGGCACUGGCGUUGCCGGGGGUGUUGGGCUCGUGGGCUCAGGGCUUGGUGCUGGCGCUGGUCUGGUUGGUUCUGGUAUUGGUGCCGUGGGCAGCGGCCUUGGUAAAGCUGGGAAGUUCAUGGGAAGGACUGUGACAGGGCACUUGGGCAUGUCCCGCAAGAGUGGUAGCAGCUCCACUGUUCCCCAACCUGACCAGCCUUCUGCAUAA
rnacentral:rRNA from 1 species